ACUACAAAUGUGUAAUUACCGCAAAAAUAAUACAUUCCUUUUGUUCCAGUGUGUGAGGUCUAUGUAGUGGGGUAUCGCCCUCUAAUACAUACUGUACCCCCUGUGUGUGAGGUCAUCAGCCUCUAAUACAUACUGUACCCCCUGUGUGUGAGGUCUGUGUAGUGGGGUAUCACCCUCUAAUACAUACUGUACCCCCUGUGUGUGAGGUCAUCACCCUCUAAUACAUACUGUACCCCCUGUGUGUGAGGUCUAUGUAGUGGGGCAUCACCCUCUAAUACAUACUGUACCCCCUGUGUGUGAGGUCUAUGUAGUGGGGUAUCGCCCUCUAAUACAUACUGUACCCCCUGUGUGUGAGGUCAUCACCCUCUAAUACAUACUGUACCCCCUGUGUGUGAGGUCUAUGUAGUGGGGUCAUCACCCUCUAAUACAUACUGUACCCCUGUGUGUGAGGUCAUCACCCUCUAAUACAUACUGUACCCCCUGUGUGUGAGGUCUAUGUAGUGGGGUAUCGCCCUCUAAUACAUACUGUACCCCCUGUGUGUGAGGUCUAUGUAGUGGGGUAUCGCCCUAAUACAUACUGUACCCCCUGUGUGUGAGGUCUAUGUAAUGUGUGAGGUCUAUGUAGUGGGGCAUCACCCUCUAAUACAUACUGUACCCCCUGUGUGUGAGGUCUAUGUAGUGGGGUCAUCACCCUCUAAUACAUACUGUACCCCUGUGUGUGAGGUCAUCACCCUCUAAUACAUACUGUACCCCCUGUGUGUGAGGUCUAUGUAGUGGGGUUUCACCCUCUAAUACAUACUGUACCCCCUGUGUGUGAGGUCUAUGUGGUAGGGUAUCACCCUCUAAUACAUACUGUACCCCCUGUGUGUGAGGUCUAUGUAGUGAUGUAUCACCCUCUAACACAUACUGUACCCCCUGUGUGUGAGGUCUAUGUAGUGUGUGAGGUCUAUGUAGUGGGGUAUCGCCCUCUAAUACAUACUGUACCCCCUGUGUGUGAGGUCUAUGUAGUGGGGUUUCACCCUCUAAUACAUACUGUACCCCCUGUGUGUGAGGUCAUCACCCUCUAACACAUACUGUACUUCCUGUGUGUGAGGUCUAUGUAGUGGGGUAUCGCCCUAAUACAUACUGUACCCCCUGUGUGUGAGGUCUAUGUAGUGGGGUAUCGCCCUCUAAUACAUACUGUACCCCCUGUGUGUGAGGUCAUCACCCUCUAAUACAUACUGUACCCCCUGUGUGUGAGGUCUAUCUAGUGGGGUAUCACCCUCUAAUACAUACUGUACCCCCUGUGUGUGAGGUCUAUGUAGUGGGGUCAUCACCCUCUAAUACAUACUGUACCCCUGUGUGUGAGGUCAUCACCCUCUAAUACAUACUGUACCCCCUGUGUGUGAGGUCUAUGUAGUGGGGUAUCACCCUCUAAUACAUACUGUACCCCCUGUGUGUGAGGUCAUCACCCUCUAAUACAUACUGUACCCCCUGUGUGUGAGGUCUAUGUAGUG